CUCUGACAUUUUUGUCACUAGCCUGAGAAAAAAAGUGUUUAUGGCCAGGCUCACACCUGUAAUCCCAGCACUUUGGGAGGCCGAGGUGGGUGGAUUACUAGGAGUUCAAGACCAGACUGGCCAACAUGGAGAAAGCCCAUCUUUACUAAAAAUACAAAAAUUAGCUGGGUGUGAUGGCGCGUACCUGUAAUCCCAGCUACUCGGGAGGCUGAGGCAGGAGAAUCGCUUGAGCCCAGGAGGCUGACAUUGCAGUGAGCCGAGAUCACGCCACUGCACUCCAGCCUGGGGGACAGAGCAAGACUCUGUCUCAAACAAAAAAA
rnacentral:lncRNA from 1 species